rnacentral:rRNA from 1 species
AGCGAACGCUGGCGGCAGGCUUAACACAUGCAAGUCGAGCGGCCGUAGCAAUACGGCAGCGGCAGACGGGAGAGUAACACGUGGGAACGUACCCUUCAGUACGGAACAACCAAGGGAAACUUUGGCUAAUACCGUAUACGUCCGUAAGGAGAAAGAUUUAUCGCUGAAGGAUCGGCCCGCGUCUGAUUAGCUAGUUGGUGAGGUAACGGCUCACCAAGGCGACGAUCAGUAGCUGGUCUGAGAGGAUGAUCAGCCUCACUGGGACUGAGACACGGCCCAGACUCCUACGGAAGGCAGCAGUGGGGAAUAUUGGACAAUGGGCGCAAGCCUGAUCCAGCCAUGCCGCGUGGAUGAUGAAGGCCCUAGGGUUGUAAAGUCCUUUUAACGGGGAAGAUAAUGACGGUACCCGUAGAAUAAGCCCCGGCUAACUUCGUGCCAGCCGCCGCCGUAAGAC